rnacentral:rRNA from 1 species
UACGUAGGGUGCGAGCGUUAAUCGGAAUUACUGGGCGUAAAGCGUGCGCAGGCGGUUAUGCAAGACAGAUGUGAAAUCCCCGGGCUUAACCUGGGAACUGCAUUUGUGACUGCAUGACUAGAGUACGGCAGAGGGGGGAUGGAAUUCCGCGUGUAGCAGUGAAAUGCGUAGAUAUGCGGAGGAACACCGAUGGCGAAGGCAAUCCCCUGGGCCUGUACUGACGCUCAUGCACGAAAGCGUGGGGAGCAAACAGG